GAUUUUAACAUGGACAACGACUGUUUCAAUUUGCACAAUUUGUGUCUUAUGUUUUAGAAUAGUGUGUUCUUGUCUGCUCGGUGUCUGUAAUGUGCUUCAACAGCCAGGAACAAGGGCUUAAACACUUUCAAGCUGAGAGGACUAU